rnacentral:rRNA from 1 species
UACGGAGGGUGCAAGCGUUAUCCGGAUUUACUGGGUUUAAAGGGCGCGUAGGCGGUGCGGUAAGUCACCUGUGAAACCUCUAGGCUCAACCUAGAGCCUGCAGGCGAAACUGCCGUGCUUGAGGGUGGGAGAGGUGCGUGGAAUUCCUGGUGUAGCGGUGAAAUGCGCAGAUAUCAGGAGGAACACCGAUGGCGAAGGCAGCUCGCUGGGACGGUACUGACGCUGAGGCGCGAAAGCGUGGGGAGCGAACAGG